UAUAUAUACACCCCAGCAGUCUGGAUCAGAACCUCUAGACACAGCACAGCAUUUCUGGAUCAGAAGCUCUGGACUCAGAACAGCAAUCUGGAUCAAAACAGGCACCCCAACAAUGUACAUCAGAAUCUUUUGGAACAAGUGACCAAAAUAUCUGCGAUUAUUGGUCUGGACUAACUGGACACAUACUGCUUUCCAUAAUCGGAAAGUAUCAAAUAUUUGAUAACGACAUCCAAAAUUUGCAGCCAGGAAGCGAAUUAGAAAGUGAGAGAGGUUAACUGACCUGUGCCGCAUCUGUGAAGAGGAAACUUCAGUGAAUGCUUCCCAUGAAGAGGAGGACUGGAUUGCUUGUGAUGGCUGGAGCCUCUGGUUUCAUUUGGCUUGCAUUGAUCCACAAUAUCAGCCAAAAUAUGUGGAACAUUCAUUGGUUUACUGUUGCAAAUGCAUGGAAAAAUAAACUACUGAGUUGAUGCUGGUGGUUAAAGGAAAAAGAUAUUAACAUUUAAAUAUCACACUUGCAAGUUUUCACCUAGGUCGCCAUUUUUUGCGUCACUGGGCCCUGCCUUUCAGUGUAAUCAAAAACAAAAAGCAAGCAAUCUAAACAAACCAAGGCUAAAAACUGCAUUAUCAUAUAUCAGAAUGUGUGUUUCAAUACCAGGAUUUGGUGUUUUUUGUGGUAGCAUCUUAGAACUGGUGUCCUUUUUUAAUACAACUUAUUGGAAAAUGUCUAUGGUUGUUUAAAACCCAUGAGAACACUUUUGGUUUUCUUUACAUUUGGUAAUCGUUGUUUUUAUUACUAUUAUGUAUUGUGGUCAGUGUUUUCAAAAGAGUAAGGCAUGAAAAAUGUGUUAUUCAACAACCUGAGGGCCACUACAGUUCUCCCUGAAAGUUACGUUAUGGAAUACUGUACCCUCCUAUAUACAGUAUUGGGGGACCCCAGGGUCUAAAAAAAAUUGCACACAUAACUCGGAGAACAGUCUCUACACAAACCAGAUGACAUCAUCCCGAAAUGUGUGUGUGUUUUAAUUACAAUGUGAUGGGAUACAGAAUUCACAGCAGCUAUGGAAUACUGUAUUUGAGUGGUUAACAAGGACAAGGCUUAAUCUGCUUAGAAAGCUGGAUAAUAAUUAGGCUGCUGUAUGUUACAGUUACAUGUUUAUGAAGAGUUUAAAGUAUUUCAGCUAUUUUACCCAUAUUUAAAUAUUUUCAAAUAAUAGUUACUUUCUGCAAUCUGUAUUUAAUUAUUUUCAAAUAGUUUAUUUCUGCAAUCUAUAAUUAAUUAUUUUCAGUUAUUUACAAUUUGCAUUUAAUUAUUUUCAAAUAAUAUUUACUUUCUGUGAUAUGUAUUUAAUUAUUUUCAAAUAGUAGUUCAGAACAUAAGAACAUAAGAAAGUUUACAAAUAAGAGGAGGCCAUUCGGCCCAUCUUGCUCGUUUGGUUGUUGGUCUGUGCCUGGUUUAACUAUUGGAACCCCACUAGUGUAAACUCCAAAAUCCCAACUCAAACUUAAAAUGAACUAUACAUUUCUGUCUUGCACUAAUUUUGCUUGCGAACAUGACAGUGUCACGUUGGCCAAAUUAAACAAACGAGGACAAUAAAGCAGACUGAAAUAAAGUUCAAGGUAAUUUACCCUUUUCCAGCUACCAUAAACUGCAAUGACUGUUGUUCAAUACUGAGUGUACUGUACUGUACUCUGUACAUAUUUUCUUUUCCCAUUUGCAUUUUUAAUAUAAGAACAUAAGAAAGUUUACAAACGAGAGGAGGCCAUUCAACCCAUCUUGCUUGUUUGGUUGUUAGUAGCUUAUUGAUCCCAGAAUCUCAUCAAGCAGCUUCUUGAAGGAUCCCAGGGUGUCAGCUUAA